rnacentral:sRNA from 1 species
UGUGUGGUAGCAGAAGUACUAGCGACUAC